rnacentral:lncRNA from 1 species
CCCUGCUUCAACGGGCCUCAUUGACUAAGAAACAAUGCCACUUUGCUGAGUAUUCAAUCUGUCACAUUGUAGGUGACAGUCUCAAACAUGCUGGGAGAUGCUGCUUAGUCGAAUUGUACUCACUGAAAUCUUGGCACACAUCUCCUGAGUCAUCUUUGAAAGCAGAAGUACUUUGGAAGGAAAAACAGACAUUGAAGGAAGAUCUGAUGCACUUUGCAUUUUCACCAUGAAGAUUAAAGAGUGAUGCAGAAAAUACCCCAAUGUAUAGGUGAAGACUGAAUAAUGGAUCUUACAGCAAGAUUCUAUGGAAUCUCAUGAUGAAAACCACUGACUGUAUUUUCCUCUCCAAGGACAUAAAAUGAUGGGUUGAAGAGGGAAAUGUGUAGAAGAUUUAGAAGUCCUUUCACAUUUUUCAAAGAUGAUAAUUCUUAGAACUAGAUGUAAAUACCAAUUUGUCUCCACUCGUGAACACAAUAGAAGUCCAUACUCUUAAAAUCAGACAUCCAAAUACAUAAUUAAGGAUG